UUCUACCAGGAGGACUCAAAUCACGCGCGGCUGGCCGCCAAUCACCAAUCACCAGCUACCAAUCACCUGCCUACACCUGUUCUAUAAAGAGUAGUCUAACAUAUGUCUUUGCUGCUCAGGUCUUCGUUCGACGCAUGAGCUGCUUACUGUGCUUUCGAUUUCGCUUCGCUAAAUCUCGUCGCCUAGUACCAUGUCGUUUAAUACAUACCCAGAGGCCGUAAUGUCGGAUUCCGAUGAGGACGCUUUUCCUCCAUCUCCUGCCGUAUCACGUAGGAGUUCGCGAAUCCAUUUAAAAUCGGCUUCUUGGGCGUCUUGGCCAACCAAAAAACUGCUGGAACUCCUGACCCAAGAAGGCGUCCCAGUGGAAGUCGGCUUGUCGCGGGCGGAUGCCCUGCAGCUUGCCGACACAGCGCUGGGGGAACAUCUCCACGCUCCACUCUCUCCAACGUUCACUCCGGAUGCCGCCGCCGCUGGCUCCGCUGCUUCGACGACUACAAAACCCGGCAAAAAGCGCGCUGGUCGGCCUACUACCUCCGGCCCGGGCAAGCGAGAGCGGAAAGCCGGUAAUUUCGGUCCACGGGAUCCUCAUCACCACCCCCAACAAAUCCCCGACGCGGACCUUCGCCAGGUUCUACACACCCUCGCCGAGUCGGUCCAAAGCCUCGGCGCCAGGAUGGAUGCUGUCGAAACACCAGGGCGCAUUCCCGGACGGGUCCAGGCCCACAACCCGCCGUCGUUCAUCGCCACGGCGCCUUUUUCCUUCCAGCUACCAUCCGGCUCGGCUCCUUCCGCCUCCACAGGCUAUGCUCCUGGCAUGUGCUCGGGUACCACGGCUACUGCAGCCCCCGCGGUCGCCCCUUUCGCGUAUUCGCUCGCUACUGCUCUACCAGUCCAGUUCCAGGGUAGGAGCUUUAUUACGCCCGCCGCGGCUACGGUUUCUCAGACCACAAAAAAUAAUAUACUCCAGGGCAGAGACGUUAAUCUCGCGGCAUUAUUGUUACCCUCCCCCGCCAUAGAGCGUCAAUGGGUUGAUUGCGGUGACGUGUUCGUUCUUUUGAAAACGUCAGACCCUAGACUUACGCGCAAUCUCUCUUUUGGCGAGUUCGUCAUUACAUUCGGGAUUUACAGAGACAUUAUGUGCCAAGUUUAUCCGGAUAGGAGGGCAGAACUUGACGCUUACCUUGCUAUUAUCGCCGACCUCAACCAGCGCUACGCCGGAACGUUAUUUUAUGAAUAUCAUAAAGCAUUUUCUGCUAAGUCGGCCCAAUGGAUCUCCAUGCUUAAUGUGAGGAUUGAUUGGUCCACUACGGACACCGAGCUUCUGCUCCACCACUUCGGUGGCCAUCAGUCAAUUUCUUGCGCUAUCUGCAGUUCCCACGGGCACACAACGGUGCUAUGCCCCAAGACCGCUACUACCGCCCCCGUCUAUGCCUCUAAAACGCCACUCGUCCAUAGUGACGUUAACCUUUUGCAGGGACCCGCACCCGAAAACUACCUGCCCCUGCCGCCAAAGGCCGGCAAUUCAAGGGAGGGGCCAUCCCUCCAAGAGAUUUUAAAAUCUCACCCAUCUACCCCAAUUAACAUUUCUUCUCUUUCAUCAUUCCUCUCAUCGCACCCCGACUCCGGUUUUGUAGACCAUCUUAUCACGGGCCUUUCACAGGGGUUCCGAGUGGGAGUCCUGUCUCCAUUGUCCACUAAAUAUGUGGCAAAAAAUCUCCAGUCAGCUCUGGCAGAACCAGAAAUUGUGUCUGCUCUUCUGGCUAAAGACCUUCUCAAAAAUUAUGUUAUCGGCCCAUUUAGUUCUCCCCCCUUUUCUUUCUUUAGAAUAAAUUCUCUCGGCGUUGCUACCCGGAGAUAUUCAGGGAAAAAACGUCUUAUUUUUUAUAUGUCUUCUCCUCACUCUGACUCUUUCGCUAGCGUCAACGAAUGUAUCCCAUCAGAACUAUUCUCGUUGUACUAUGCCACUAUCGACCACGCCAUCGCGUUGAUAAAAAUCGCAGGCCAGGGAGCUUGGCUCGCUAAAGCCGACAUUACAGAUGCUUUUAAAAUAAUGCCCAUUCAUCGGUCCGAUUGGCCGUUGUUCGGCGUGAAAUGGCAGUCUAAAUUCUAUUUCGCAGUUUAUGCUAAACAUAUGUAGGUUGCCAUUCGUUCUACAUCUGCUGGACGAUUUUUUGCUUAUUGACUUUCCAUCCAACCAAACCAGCGUCCUGGAUACUCUUAAGAGAGUGUUCAGCGAGAUCGGAGUUCCCUUAUCUGAAGAGAAAACAGAGGGGCCAGCUACCGCAAUCGAAUUUCUAGGGAUUCGCUUAGAUUCGGAUAGGAUGCAAGCAUCCCUCCCGGACGAGAAACUACAGAGGAUCAGAUCAUUUCUCAAUGCGUUUAUAACGUCUGCUGGAAUCACUAAACGUGAAAUGCUCUCACUCCUAGGCCACCUCAAUUUCGCUAUGCGUAUUAUACCACAAGGGCGCUCGUUCAUCUCUCGCCUCCUAGAUCUGGCACAUUCGGCCCCAAAACUGAACGACGUGAUACACCUCAACGAAGGCUGCAUGUCCGAUCUCAAAUUCUGGUCGUUCCUCAUCGCUAACUGGAACGGAAUUUCCUUCUUCUAUAACGACACGCCUGAAUCAUCUGAUUCUCUCGAACUAUUCACUGAUGCGGCCCCCUCGGUCGGGU
ensembl:lncRNA